CCCGUGCGCGCGCGUCCCGAUCCGCCGGGCGGCGGGCCGGUGGCUGCGGGCCUGGGAGCGCCGAGGGGCUGAGACACCGGGGCUGUCCCGGGGGCCGGCUCUCGAAACCCCCUCUUUAGGCCCAUCUCCGUCGUCAGCCCCGUCGCUCGGGGAUAGUGCCCGCCAUUUUCCCGUCUUCCGGGGAGCCGGCUCCGGGACACAGCAUCCCACAGAGGGAAUCCGUCACGUCCUCGCAGCUUCCCGGGCCUCGGGAUUCCAGAGCGUCCAGCCCGAGGCCGCCGCGUACUCCCGGGGCCGGUCUUCCUCACGGGCCCGGCGUCGCUGGGCCUCGGCUGCUCUUCCCCGCCUCCGGGCGUCCCCGCGGCGGCUCUGCCCCGGGCCGCGGGCUCUGCGGGCGGCGGCGAGCGGGGCGGGGCGUGGGCAGGGCCAUCGAGCCUCUCGCCUCCGCGGGGCCCUCGCGCCCCGCAGCCCGAGAGGGCGGAGCCCGCCUGGAGCUCAGGUACCGAGCCUCCGCCCGGCGCGGCCGCCCUCCGCUCACCGCAGAUGCUGAGCCGCGCCCGGAGGCGGCGUCCGCGGGCCCGAGGAAGGUCUGCAGACGGCCGGGGCCACCGGUGAGAGGCGAAGGAAGGCGGGCACCGGGGGGAGCGGCCUGGCGGGGGACGCAGCCCCUGGUUCUAGCUUUGCCCCGACCGAAGCGGGACGCGCUGGAAGCCGGGGGUCCGAGGCCCUGGGUCUCCUCUGGCACCGCCGCGGCGGAGAGCGGACCGGAUCACAGUGAGUUUUGGUGAUGCAGUAGAUGAUCUCCCCUAACGGUGAAAUGUGUGCAGCACAGGCCUGUGGUGUCCUCGGGGUAAGCAGAGGUGUACAAACGGAGGACACGUAAGCACAUCUUUCCGGGAAACAAAGUGGACAGCUAUGUGAUGGUUCUGUCUGGUCCAGGAACAAAACAUAAAAUAUCAGAAGAAACUCAAAAACUGUAUGCUUUAAAUUCUACUCUAAAUAAAUAAAUUCUACUCUGUAA